AGUCAGUGAGAGGAGGGGGAAGAUGGCUCGCCGGGACCCGUUCUGCUAGGAAGAAGGGGAGCAGGUGGUGCUGCUACUCGGGAGGAAGCAGAGCAGCCGCCGUCGCUGACGCUGAGAGCCUCACGAGUCGAGGUCCUGCAGGUGGAGCUCCGGCAGCCGCUCUGGUUGAAGGUUUAGAACAGAUGUGGAAAAAUGUUUACUUCAGAGAAAGGGGUUGUGGAGGAAUGGUUGUCAGAGUUUAAGUUGCUAGAACCUGUCUGUCACCAGCUCUUUGAAUUCUAUCGCAGUGGAGAGGAGCAGUUGCUUCAAUUUACGCUGCAAUUUCUCCCAGAACUAAUUUGGUGCUACCUUGCAGUCUCAGCCAGCAGAAAUGUGCAUAGUAGUGGAUGCAUUGAAGCUCUUCUUCUAGGGGUUUACAAUUUGGAAAUAGUUGACAAACAGGGACAUACCAAAGUAUUGAGUUUUACGAUUCCAUCUUUAUCCAAACCAUCUGUAUACCAUGAACCUUCCAGCAUUGGGUCCAUGGCUCUGACCGAGAGUGCAC
rnacentral:sRNA from 1 species